GAAAGUAACAGACUCCUCCCCAGUCAGGUGUUGUAAUCAACGACUUAAAAUAUCCCAGAUGAGGCCCUAGACUCCUGGGCCCACUUGACUUCUGUCCUGUUGACUAAAUCAAUGCCCUAGCAAUCGGCCAGCAUUUAGUAUGGCAGCUCUCGGUCCCCAUGUGGACGGCGCCUCACUGGGACCCUGCUGACAAAGGCACGGGGCACGGGGGUCCUGACUCCACCAGGACCGGGGCUCCUGCGGCAGGAGGCAGGGCGAGUCCACCACGGAGCCUCUCUCUGCUCGGCACACAGUAGGUCUGUGCUGCACUCCGGCACGUUCUCCCCCUCUCGCCCGCUCCGCUGAGGACUUCUGGCUGCGCUACCCAGAGGACAGGAAGCCAUUCACUUGCCCCCAGAACGGCCCUAACGUGGGACUAUCUCCUUCCUUUGCUCAAACAAGUCCCAUCAGUAUGCACGUGGGUAAAGACGCAGUAUAUGUGAACUGUGGCAUCUUACCACAACAGAACGAAAUCUUGCAAUUGUGACAUGGAUGGACCUGGAAGGUAUUAUGCAUCAUGAAAUAACUCUAACAGCGAAAGAUAAAUACCAUAGGAUUUCAUUUACAUGUGGAGGCUAGAAAAUAAAACAAACAAACAAAGAAA